rnacentral:rRNA from 1 species
AACGUAGGAGGCAAGCGUUAUCCGGAGUUACUGGGCGUAAAGGGUUCGUAGGUGGCUGGCUAAGUCAGACGUGAAAUCCCUCAGCUCAACUGGGGAACUGCGUCUGAGACUGGUCAGCUUGAGUGCAGGAGAGGAACGCGGAAUUCCAGGUGUAGCGGUGAAAUGCGUAGAUAUCUGGAGGAACACCGGUGGCGAAGGCGGCGUUCUGGACUGCAACUGACACUGAGGAACGAAAGCCAGGGGAGCAAACGGG